ensembl:lncRNA
GGUUAGUAUUAUCUGGUUGGUUAGUAUUAUGUGGUUGGUUAGUAUUAUGUGGUUGAUUAGUAUUAUCUAGUUGGUUAGUAUUAUCUGGUUGGUUAGUAUUAUGUGGAUCGUUAGUAUUAUCUGGUUGGUUAGUAUUAUGUGGUUGGUUAGUAUUAUGUGGUUGGUUAGUAUUAUGUGGUUGGUUAGUAUUAUGUGGUUGGUUAGUAUUAUGUGGUUGAUUAGUAUUAUCUGGUUGGUUAGUAUUAUGUGGAUCGUUAGUAUUAUCUGGUUGGUUAGUAUUAUGUGGAUCGUUAGUAUUAUCUGGUUGGUUAGUAUUAUGUGGUUGGUUAGUAUUAUCUGGUUGGUUAGUAUUAUGUGGUUGGUUAGUAUUAUGUGGUUGAUUAGUAUUAUGUGGUUGAUUAGUAUUAUCUAGUUGGUUAGUAUUAUGUGGAUUGUUAGUAUUUUCUGGAUUUUAGUAUUAUUUGGUUGGUUAGUAUUAUUUGGUUGGGGACAGUAUUGUUACUGCUGGUUUGAUGACAGAUCAGGGGGACAGAAAUUGAUUGGUUGUAACACUCACCUGUUGUUGUUAUGGCCUCCAGUCCAAGGACAUUAGCCCUCCCUCUACAGGUCCACAACCUCCCUGUGUGUCUCUCUCUGUUCAUCACUCUCUCUUUAUCUCUUUCUGUGUGUGUGUGUGUGUGUGUGUGUGUGUGUGUGUGUGUGUGUGUGUGUGUGUGUGUGUGUGUGUGUGUGUGUGUGUGUGUGUGUGUGUGUGUGUGUGUGUCACAGCAAGUGUAGUCACACACUCCAUCGUGUUGGCGGGGAGGAGAGAACUGCUUACCUCAAUUCCAGAAUAAUUAUGGAGUGGAAAAAAGAACAAUUAGCCAGCUGGGUAUUAUAAAACAAAGCAAUUAAUGUUAUGCUAAUAAGUCGAAUUUCCAGCAAUUGUCGAUCAUUUGCUAAUUAUUUGUUAAUUAGUCUGACUUUUUAGUGCAUCAAUUUAUGAGAGAUUAAUGAACAGACAGAUUCUGGUAUUUAACAAACUCUCUCGGCAGCAGUUGAGAGUUCUGUUCCUUCCUGCUGUGAUCGUAAUUGCUGUUAUGAAAAGUCAAACUCCAUUGAGACACUUUUACAACCAUGUCCUCUAGUGUAUCAUAUUCCUGGGACAACACACGAGGUCUCUGGGACAACACACGAGGUCUCUGGGACAACACACGAGGUCUCUGGGACAACACACGAGGUCUCUGGGACAACACAUGAGGUCUCUGGGACAACACAUGAGGUCUCUGGGACAACACAUGAGGUCUGUGGGACAACAUGAGGUCUGUGGGACAACACACAAGGUCUCUGGGACAGCACAUGAGGUCUCUGGGACAACACAUGAGGUCUCUGGGACAACACAUGAGGUCUGUGGGACAACAUGAGGUCUGUGGGACAACAUGAGGUAUGUGGGACAACAUGAGGUAUCUGGGAUAGCACAAGGUCUCUGGGACAGCACAUGACGUCUCUGGGACAAUGUAAACCUUCAGCGACAGCAGCGUAAUACUCACUAUCUAGCCUACGUUUCAUUACUGUGGGAUCCUCUAACUAAGAUACUGUAUGUCCUUUUUUCCUUGAUUCAACUAGGUUGUUUGUCACAUUAAAUGUGUUAAUGAGGA